AAGAUACUAGUAAAACUAUUACCUUGCCUUGUCGAGGCAAAAUCGUGGGUUAAACUCCCGCGUAUCUUA
rnacentral:tRNA from 1 species